rnacentral:rRNA from 1 species
UACGUAGGUGGCAAGCGUUGUCCGGAUUUACUGGGCGUAAAGAGCGCGCAGGCGGUUUGUCGCGUCUGCUGUGAAAACUGGGGGCUCAACCCCCAGCCUGCAGUGGGUACGGGCAGACUAGAGUGCGGUAGGGGAGAUUGGAAUUCCUGGUGUAGCGGUGGAAUGCGCAGAUAUCAGGAGGAACACCGAUGGCGAAGGCAGAUCUCUGGGCCGUAACUGACGCUGAGGAGCGAAAGCAUGGGGAGCGAACAGG